UACAUGGGGUGCAAACGUUGCUCGGAAUUAUUGGGCGUAAAGCGCACGUAGGCGGUUAUUCAAGUCGGAUGUGAAAGCCCUUGGCUCAACCGAGGAAGUGCACCCGAAACUGGAUAGCUAGAGUACGAAAGAGGGUCGCGGAAUUCCCGGUGUAGAGGUGAAAUUCGUAGAUAUCGGGAGGAACACCGGUGGCGAAGGCGGCGACCUGGUCCUUUUACUGACGCUGAGGCGCGAAAGCGUGGGGAGCAAACAGG
rnacentral:rRNA from 1 species